rfam:Phytophthora sojae unplaced genomic scaffold PHYSOscaffold_3, whole genome shotgun sequence.
GAACACGAUUUAGAAUUGCGAAGUCAAGUGGGCCCCUCCCCGGGGGGGGCGGCUUGGGGAAAUUCCCCGGACACCAGGGCAGAGAGUGCCAGCGUCCAAGCGCAGACUCCCUCGGCGAUGAAGCUUUGCGGAGAUGGCUCCGCUUCGGCGGGCCGGAGCUUUCGGCGGAUUUGCGAGGACUGAUGGUCAUACUAAAAGUUAUGCAAUUGGCUCAGCGGCUUAUGGCGGACGUCGUGCCGUCGCUGCUUGGAGCUAACCCGACGGGGAUUACUCAUGUUGUGUU